rnacentral:snRNA from 1 species
UCUUUUGGGGAGUGAAUAUACUAAAAUUUGAAUGAUACAGAGAAGAUCAGCAGGGCACCUGCACA